rnacentral:tRNA from 1 species
GAGAAGGUGGCUCAGUGGUAGAGCGCUUGCCUUGUAUGCAUGAAGCCCUGGGUUCCAUUCAGUGCCACAUUA